rnacentral:tRNA from 1 species
GGAAGUGUAGUUUAAUAGAAUGGUACUUUUGUAAAGUAUUGGUGUAUUUAUAUUACUUCUU